UCAGAUCGAUUGUCAAAGAUCGUUCACGUGUAAAUCUAGCCUCGAUCCCAGGCCGAGUUUUCGCUUUUAUAACGGUUAGGCGAACAACUGGGCCUGGUACUAGUUGUCUGCGCAUGCGUCAGUCGUUCGUCAGAUUCUGACGAAUGGAUAUUCUCGUUCACUUUCGUGACAUUUAUAUUCGUGUACUAUCGUGUACUAGAAGUCAGUUCCCGUUUUAUCAUUAUUGGAAUCGAUUGGAAUGGCUCUUAGCUGAAGCUUCUCUCUUCUCUGAAGCUUAUUCUGAAGACUGAACAACAAGGGAAGAGGUAUAAAGCUUUGUCAAGCUUGUUAAGGUCAGAUAUUUUUGUGUGGGCCCUAUGGCCGGCUAUGCUAUCAAGUCUUGUUCAUGUUUGGCAAGAAUGUAGGUAGACUAUAGUUUCAUCAUUAAUAUGGUGGAUCAAGUGAAGAGUGUGAGCUAGAGAACUUGGUGCUGCCAUCAUCAGCUCGUCGACAAUGACACUAUAACCGAGAAAUUUAAUAUGUAUAGAUCUACACGUAUUUAAAAUGUCUACUUCUCUGUACAGGAGCAAUGGCUAAUAUCCAGCUAUCCCAACAGUGCUCCUCUUGGCUAUACUAACGGACGAGACUGGACAGUUUGAGACACAGGACUGGAGUAUGACCUGCUCAUUCAAGCGUUGCUGGGUAGCUCAGAGACAUCAAGAGAAUCUAUGUUUUCUCAAGCAAUGAGUUACGAGUUGGGGCCUAGAAUCAGAGAAGUCCAGCAGCCUGCUAAAUCUUUUUGAAACGUAAUUUGAAGGCAUUCAAUCAUCCUGAAGUUGCCCUGGGUCACUGUAAUUGUGCUGCAGCACAACUGGCAACUCCCCAGGCCUUUGUGAAGCAGCUCCCUAUGUGCAUCUUUUGUGUACUCACUCUGUGCAUUUUCUGUGUACAAAUUUCUAUUAUUGAUUUAUUAAAUAUUUUUGCCGACCACAAAUAUACAAUGAAAAUUUGACGCAUG